rnacentral:lncRNA from 1 species
GGAUGUAGGCAUUGUUGGCCGAACCAGUAUAAAAACCAGUGUUUGAUUUUCUUUAUCCCUACACUCUUUAAAUUCAAUCGACUAUAUAUGUUUAGCAGUCAACUGCAUUUUUUUGCUGUAUUAAAAUUUUCAUUACUUGCAUUUCAAGAAAUGAUUAAAAAGCUUUAUACUUUUGUUUCAAGAUUGCGAAAAGAUUUUGUUUUUGAAAUAACACCAAUUCACCCCCCU